rnacentral:rRNA from 1 species
CUACGGGAGGCAGCAGUGGGGAAUAUUGCACAAUGGGCGAAAGCCUGAUGCAGCGACGCCGCGUGAGGGAUGACGGCCUUCGGGUUGUAAACCUCUUUCAGCAGGGACGAAGCGCAAGUGACGGUACCUGCAGAAGAAGCACCGGCUAACUACGUGCCAGCAGCCGCGGUAAUA